AACGCGAAGAACCUUACCCAGAUUUGACAUACAGAGGACGAUGUUAGAAAUAACAUUUCCCUUCGGGGCCUCUGAACAGGUGCUGCAUGGCUGUCGUCAGCUCGUGCCGUGAGGUGUUUGGUUAAGUCCAGCAACGAGCGCAACCCUUAUCGUUAGUUGCCAGCAUUUUAGGUGGGCACUCUAGCGAGACUGCCUGGGUUAACCAGGAGGAAGGUGAGGAUGACGUCAAGUCCGCAUGGCCCUUAUAUCUGGGGCAACACACGUGCUACAAUGGUCGGUACAGAAGGCAGCGAAACCGCGAGGUGAAGCAAAUCCCUAAAGCCGAUCCCAGUUCAGAUUGUAGUCUGCAACUCGACUACAUGAAGUUGGAAUUGCUAGUAAUGGCAGGUCAGCACACUGCCGUGAAUACGUUCCCGGGCCUUGUACACACCGAGUAUA
rnacentral:rRNA from 1 species